UACGUAGGGACCAAGCGUUGUUCGGAUUUACUGGGCGUAAAGAGCGCGCAGGCGGUCGUUCAAGUCGCGUGUGAAAGCCCCCGGCUCAACUGGGGAGGGUCACGCGAUACUGAUCGACUCGAAGGCAGGAGAGGGAAGUGGAAUUCCCGGUGUAGUAGUGAAAUGCGUAGAUAUCGGGAGGAACACCAGUGGCGAAGGCGGCCUUCUGGCUCAUAACUGACGCUGUAGCGCGAAAGCGUGGGGAGCGAACCGG
rnacentral:rRNA from 1 species